AUUGGACGCUGGCGGCAUGCUUUACACAUGCAAGUCGAACGGUAACAGGCCGCAAGGUGCUGACGAGUGGCGAACGGGUGAGUAAUGCAUCGGAACGUGCCCAGUCGUGGGGGAUAACGCAGCGAAAGCUGCGCUAAUACCGCAUACGAUCUAUGGAUGAAAGCGGGGGACCGUAAGGCCUCGCGCGAUUGGAGCGGCCGAUGUCAGAUUAGGUAGUUGGUGGGGUAAAGGCUCACCAAGCCAACGAUCUGUAGCUGGUCUGAGAGGACGACCAGCCACACUGGGACUGAGACACGGCCCAGACUCCUACGGGAGGCAGCAGUGGGGAAUUUUGGACAAUGGGCGCAAGCCUGAUCCAGCAAUGCCGCGUGCAGGAUGAAGGCCUUCGGGUUGUAAACUGCUUUUGUACGGAACGAAACGGCCCUUUCUAAUACAGGGGGCUAAUGACGGUACCGUAAGAAUAAGCACCGGCUAACUACGUGCCAGCAGCCGCAGUAACAC
rnacentral:rRNA from 1 species